AAACUGCGAAUGGCUCAUUAAAUCAGUUAUAGUUUAUUUGAUUGUGAACGUUAAAUGGAUACCUUUAAUAAUUUUAGAGCUAAUACAUGCGAAAAGGGGUUUUUCAACUCUUUACUUAUUAGAUACAAAACCAACGAUGUUGAAAAACAUGAAAAGGUGAUUCAUGAUAAGUUUUGGAAUCGAGGGAUACCUUGAUGAAUCAUACAAGUUUCUGCCCUAUCAACUUUGGAUGGUAAGGUAUUGGCUUACCAUGGUUGCAACGGGUAACGGGGAAUUAGGGUUCGAUUCCGGAGAGGGAGCCUGAGAAACGGCUACCACUUCUACGGAGGGCAGCAGGCGCGCAAAUUACCCAAUCCUGACAUAGGGAGGUAGUGACGAAUAAUAACGGUGUUUGACACUAUUGUCGAAACAACUGGAAUGAAUUUAGUUUAGAAAAGUAGAUGAAACCCAUUGGAGGGCAAGUCUGGUGCCAGCAGCCGCGGUAAUUCCAGCUCCAAUAGCGUAUAUUAAAGUUGUUGCAGUUAAAAAGCUCGUAGUUGAAUUUGUUGGUGGAUAUAUAAACUAUUUUUGAUUACCGUGAGAAAAUUAGAGUGCUCAAAGCAGGUUUUUAUGCUUGACUAAUUCAGCAUGGAAUAAUGGAAUAGGGUCGUGAUCUUAUUUUAUUGGUUUUUUUGAUCAAGAUGAUGGUUGAUAGGAACAGUUGGGGACGUUGAUACUGUCUUGUCAGAGGUGAAAUUCUUGGAUUAAGACAAGGUGAACUUUUGCGAAAGCAUUCGUCAAGGAUGUUUUCAUUAAUCAAGAACGAAAGUUGAGGGAUCGAAGACGAUCAGAUACCGUCGUAGUCUUGACUGUAAACGAUGCCGACUAGGGAUUGGUGAAAUGUUAUAAAAUCUCAUCUGGACCUUUUAGAAAUUAAAAGUUUUUGGGUUCUGGGGAGAGUAUGGUCGCAAGGCAGAAAUUUAAAGGAAUUGACGGAAGGGCACAACCAGGAGUGGAGCCUGCGGCUUAAUUUGACUCAACACGGGAAAACUUACCAGGUCCGGACAUGAUAAGGAUUGACAGAUUAAAGUUCUUUCAUGAUUUUAUGGGUAGUGGUGCAUGGCCGUUCUUAGUUGGUGGAGUGAUUUGUCUGGUUAAUUCCGAUAACGAACGAGACCUUUUCUUUAUGUUGAAAUGAAUCAUUAAAAAAUGAUUUUUUUGGAUUAAAGGACUGUUUGUGAUUUUUAAACAAAUGGAAGUUUUAGGCAAUAACAGGUCUGUGAUGCCCUUAGACGUUCUGGGCCGCACGCGCGCUACACUGACCAAAACAAAAAAAAAGUAUUUUUGAAAAGAAAUUUGAAACAAGAAAUUUGGUCGUGAUGGGGAUAGAUUAUUGUAAUUUUUAAUCUUGAACGAGGAAUUCCUAGUAAGCACAAGUCCUUAACUUGUGUUGAUUACGUCCCUGCCCUUUGUACACACCGCCCGUCACUACUACCGAUUGAAUGAUUUAUUGAGAUUGUUGGAUUUUUUUAAAAAGAAAAAACA
rnacentral:rRNA from 1 species